rnacentral:lncRNA from 1 species
CUGUUGUAAUUCUGGAUCUGAUACAACCCGGAAUUACACCACAUAAUAUUGGAAAUUAGAAACAACCCCCAAAAGUCACAUUCCCCAAUAGAAGUAAAUCAACGUUGCCUGGUGUCAUCAGUCUCCACCUCCAUGUCUCAGCAGGGUCAGCUUUUGUUGCCACAGGAAGGACAACCACCUAGCUUAAACAACUCUCUAUCUCCAUUCCUCCCACCUUAGGAAUGUGGCAAGCCCGAAACCUUUCCCCCCAUAACCAGCAAAGAGAAAGAAAGAAAGGGAAUAUAUAAUAAGGUUAAAUAAAAUGGCUACGCAUAUGUCAAUUAUGGGCUUGACAGGCCCCCUCAUUUGAAAAGAACCUUCUGCAACAACAUAGAAUAAACAAAGAUUGAAAUGUGGUUAAACAAAAUAAUACAAUACAGCAAUUUAACCUCCUCUGCCACCCGCAGGAUCUGUCAAUUUUGGGCUUGACACUGAUUUUGAUAUCUGCUGUUAUUAGUUAGUCUUUCCAUGUACUCUUUAUAUUAAAUCUUAAAUAUGUCAACAAUAUUGAAUGCAGGAAUGAGUGAUACCAAUUUCUUUCCAUGCAAUCUGAAUCCUGAUUUAUUUUUUGCAGACAGCUUGAAAGAUGCCAGAAGAAAUUAAAGUAUUGGUAGAAGGAGUUUCUCGAUACUGUGAUUGUUUGACUCCUGAGAUGACAACUGCAUCUUCUCCUGGAAGCUGUGAUGAAAAGAGGGCAAGAAAUGCUGGC